rnacentral:rRNA from 1 species
CACGUAGGGUGCGAGCGUUGUCCGGAAUUAUUGGGCGUAAAGAGCUCGUAGGCGGUGUGUCGCGUCGGCCGUGAAAACCUGGGGCUUAACUCUGGGCUUGCGGUCGAUACGGGCAUCACUGGAGUUCGGCAGGGGAGACUGGAAUUCCUGGUGUAGCGGUGAAAUGCGCAGAUAUCAGGAGGAACACCGGUGGCGGAGGCGGGUCUCUGGGCCGAUACUGACGCUGAGGAGCGAAAGCGUGGGGAGCGAACAGG